AACAGCAAUUCCAGUUUUCAAUGAUUACAUGGUGCUGAUCACCUUUGCGUCUCUGUGUUGUUGUUAUCCACUUGGUUGUUUUGCACGCCUAAUAUCACGUCAGGCAAGACAUCAUUACAACGCAGGUGACUAUGAAAGUGCCAUGAAAUCAGCAAAAAUGGCCAACAGAUUGGCUAUCGCUUGUAUAGUUCUCGGAACGAUUCUUCUUAUUUCAGCUGCUAUAG